AACGAACGCUGGCGGCAUGCCUAACACAUGCAAGUCUUACGAGACCCUCUGCUCUAGUGGCCUACCGGAGCGUAACGCGUGGGAACCUCGUAUUAGGCUCGGACUACCUUCACGAAAGGGAUACUAAUACCGGAUAAUGUCUCCGGACCAAAGAUUUAUCGCCUUUGGAUGGGCCCGCGUUGGAUUUGCUAGUUGGUAGGGUAACAGCCUACUAAGGCGAUGAUCCAUAGCUGGUCUGGGAGGAUGAUCAGCCACACCGGGACUGAGACACGGCCCAGACUCCUACGGGAGGCAGCAGUGAGGAAUAGUGGACGAUGGGAGACAUGCUGAACCAGCAAUGCCGCGUGAGUGAUGAAGGCCUGAGGGUUGUAAGGCUCUAUUACCCGGGAUGAUAAUGACAGUACCGGGAGAAUAAGCUACGGCUAACUCCGUG
rnacentral:rRNA from 1 species